rnacentral:rRNA from 1 species
AACGAACGCUGGCGGCGGGCUUAACACAUGCAAGUCGAACGAGAUCUUCGGAUCUAGUGGCAGACGGGUGAGGAACACGUGGGAACAUCCCUUUCAAUUCGGAAUAACGUUGGGAAACUAACGCUAAUACCGGAUACGUCCUUCGGGAGAAAGAUUUAUCGCUGAAAGAUUGGCCCGCGUCUGAUUAGCUAGUUGGUGAGGUAAUGGCUCACCAAGGCUACGAUCAGUAGCUGAUCUGAGAGGAUGAUCAGCCACAUUGGGACUGAGACACGGCCCAAACUCCUACGGGAGGCAGCAGUGGGGAAUAUUGGACAAUGGGCGCAAGCCUGAUCCAGCCAUGCCGCGUGAGUGAUGACGGCCUUCGGGUUGUAAAGCUCUUUUGUCCGGGAAGAUAAUGACUGCACCGGAAGAAUAAGCCCCGGCAAACUUCGUGCCAGCAGCCGCCGUAA